rnacentral:rRNA from 1 species
UGACCUACGGGGGGCAGCAGCCGCGGUAAUACGUAGGUGGCAAGCGUUGUCCGGAUUUAUUGGGCGUAAAGCGAGUGCAGGCGGUUCAAUAAGUCUGAUGUGCAAGCCUUCGGCUCAACCGGAGAAUUGCAUCAGAAACUGUUGAACUUGAGUGCAGAAGAGGAGAGUGGAACUCCAUGUGUAGCGGUGGAAUGCGUAGAUAUAUGGAAGAACACCAGUGGCGAAGGCGGCUCUCUGGUCUGCAACUGACGCUGAGGCUCGAAAGCAUGGGUAGCGAACAUGAUUAGAUACCCCAGUA